CUCCCUUUUCUACCAUUGCCUGCUGUGUUCCGGAAGGAAGUCACCAUGGGUAGCCUACAAGGAAAGGAGUAGAGAUUUAUGCUUCACCUCGUUGAGUGAGGGUAGAGUAUCUAUGUAGAUUAUUUGGAACUCUCCUGCACAUAUUUGUCCCUUUCCACCUAUUUAUUUAUUUAGUUAUUCAGUCAUUUGUACUUAGGAAUACUUUGAGUUAUAAUCCAAGACUACUUGAUACAUUUUAUGGCUCAAAUUAUUUCCGUGCUGGCCACUGGGAGCUUUUUCAGUGGGCUCUUGUGCUUAUUUGAAAUAUCUUCUUCUUCUUUUUCUUUCUUUCUUCUUCUUUUUUUUUUUUUUUUUUUUUUCUGAACAAGAUGCUCCAGGCUCCUGUUGUAUAUUUUCUGCACCACCCCCUAGAACCAGCCAUUUCUUCAAAAAGCCUUUGUUCCUUUUAUUGGAGAAUGGUAUUAAAAACUGAGGUGUGGAUGCUAAGUGUGGUCAUUGCCUCCAGAGUACCUUACCUACUGGGUCCUCUCAGCUGAAAGAGGGAGCAACAUAUUUCUGUACACUCACCCUUGUAUUCUACAUAUCUGUACAUACUCUUAAAGCCACGCAUCUGUAUCUAUAUUAAGCCAGAUACGAGUUCAUCUUGAUGUCUCCAACUCUCCUGUAUUCCUACCACAUGGAUCAUUUCACCUGCUCUACUUAUCGGUAAAUUCUCAUUCCAACAGUGAAAAGCCUGGCUUCCAGCAGCCAUCAUCCAUUUAGUUAAUUAUUCAAUUUCAGCACACUUG